rnacentral:lncRNA from 1 species
UUAGUUUAUGCUAAACCCCGCUUGCGGGGCUUGACGCGACGUCAAACGGCGACAGUGAACGGCACGUGCACCCAAUCGCGUUGAGGGCAACAUGGAACGCCCAGUUCGUAAUCGCUUGUCUUUCAGCAGCGUCUCAUGCUGCAUCCUUCCCCUGGUCUGCGUGGGAGCGCUGCUGCAAAGCGUCUUGUUAGCGUUCGUGGGUUUCAUCAAAGGAAUUCUUGUUCUCGUGCCUGUGGCGUUGCUGACCAUACCUUCAUGGUUAUUAGCAACGAUUCUGAACUGGCCGGUAAGCUGAGCAUUCCCGUACGAUAAUUGCAAGGAGUUGUUAGCCAUCGGACGCAGCUGCUCCCUGUCUUACCCAUUGGUCAACCCGAAUUAUGUUUCCUCGCCCUUUCCCC